CCAUCAUAUUUGAAAAGUUGUAGCUGUCAGGCGAAGGGUCCAGGGAGUAGAAAAAGGGAAAUGUCACUCUCAUUUACAGGAAAAGAAAGAAGGAGGACCCAAGGAACUACAGGCCGGGGAGCCUCACCUCUUUGCCUGGUAACAUCGUGGAACAGAUCCUCCUAGAAUAGUCUUUGGGUCGUAUCAACCAUUGGCUACCAGCAACAUUCAAAGAGUUUUGCAGUGGCCCUUGGUGGUUUCUACAGGGAUAACUGCUGUUCAUGGAGCAUUUGUUGGAUGCAGAAGCUGAAAAACCUGUGCAGUGAGGCAAGCCAGCACAGCUCAGUGUGUGGACUUUCAGGAGCUUCUCUGCAAUAAGGAAGCAGGAAAGCCUUCUAGAGAAAGAAAUUGUGUGAAGGCAUCUCUGAAGCAAAUUGCUUUUAGUGUGUACAACAUUGAGGUGCAAGUCUUCUCUUAAAUUACAAACUGUUUCUCUGUGCAUUGGCUGCUUCAUAAAUAUAUUUAAUACUAUGCUAUCCCCAAGGGGCACCUGAUUUACCUCUAAAAGAACGCAAUGAACCAAAAGACUGGUAAUCAAGGAGGAACUGAAGAGGCAUACAUCUGCUGCCAGUGACACAAUGAUUAUGAUGAGAGCUUCACAUACAACUAGACCAAUAUGAAAUGUUUUAGCUUCCUGUCAGUGAUUUUGCUGAAUCAGAAUAAGAAUCAGGGCUUUGCUGUGCAAGGUACACACUCAUAACAAAAGCGCUGCCAUCAUCACAGAGUUUGCAGUCUGACCCUAGGGAGCUGCAGGAAAACACUGCUACAAUAAAGGCAGCCACCAAGAGCAUAAUCCAUAGGAUGAGAAAUGGAAGGUACCACUCAUCUGACAAACAAUCUUUCAUAAAAUCAUAGAAUAUCCUGAGUUGGAAGGGACCCAGAAGGAUCACUGAAUCCAAUUCCUGGCUUAGAAUGGGACCACCCAAAAUCCAAACCCUAUGUCUGUGACUGUUGUCCAAACACUCCUUGAACUCUGGUGCAGGACCCAUUCCUAGCCCUCACCCACCCCUCCCCUGACACAGCUCCAUGCCGUUCCCUCGGGCCCUGUCCCUGUCACACAGAGCAGAGCUCAGUGCUGUUCCUCCGCUCCCUGUGAAGAGCUGCAGCUGCCAUGAGGCCUCCCAUCAGCUCCUCUGCUCUGGGCUGAGCAAACCCAGGGACCUCAGCCGCUUCUCAUACAGUUUGCCCUCUAGAGCCUUCACCAUCUUUUUAAUGGAGCAGCUUCCAGGGAGGAUCUGAAGAAGUGACAACAGGCUAAGGAACGUGGAGCUCUUCUUUGACCUUUGAUCAGCCACUUCACUUUAAUUUGCAUUACAGAUCUGAAUCCCCAUAGCAGGAGCAAGCACUUAUCCUUCGCAGCAGCAAUGGGCUGUGAUUACUGACCAUUUCAGCAAACCUAAAUGUGUGCUACUUAUUCUGCAUGCCUACUGGAUCUCCAGUGUGUGCAAAGGAAUAGCCAGACCCUGGGGUGAGAUGAUGACUGCACAGCAGAGGCUAGAGACAGACAUAAAACAGUUAAUGUGAAAGGAUGUUAUUGCUUAUUGAAGCCUUGAAAUAUAGCCUUGCUCUCAACAGCCAACAGUUUUGUAACAUCCUUGAUGCAGGAAAGGUCCUGAUGUGUGUUUUUAUAGAUUUGAGCACAAUAGGUUCAAAAUCUUGACAGGGUUUUUGAACAUCAGGAUAAAAGCAGGAAUUAGUGCUUGGACUCUAACCACAAAAACACAGCAAAGCUUUUCCUUGACUGAUGUACAAAGCAGCUCUUGACUGCUGAAACUGCAGAGACAAUGAAUUACAAGCUGAAAAUGGACUGACAGGUUUAUACGAGAAGUUCCUACUGUUUUGUAAGCUUUAAUCUUAGCGUUAGGUAUUACUCUGAGACUAAAACACACUCCUUCAUCUCUCCUCUCCUAAAAUUCUGGUAGAAUCCUCUUCUUUCUUUUUCCCAGUAGCCCAAAGGUCAGAACACUUGUUCACUUGUUCAUAUAAACCUUCUGCUGUCUGCAGGAGUCUGAAGCCAUAUUAUAUUUUCAGACAGAAGCAAUAUGUUUUAUGUGGAUUUACAGAAAUGGAUGCUCUCAUUCUCCCAGGGGCAGUGUUUUACGUGCCAUAAAUCAGCAAGUGCUCCCUGGAGCCAGGCUGCUCUACUGAAUUCUUUGCUUCAGGUGGAAUGUUUGUUAUCAAACUCUUGUUCACUACAACUUAAAAGUUUCACUAAAUGUGGAAGCACUCAAGAGGAAUUCUGAGUGCAGAAAGCAAUCCUCCAGUAUCACUUCCAUGAAACUUCUAUAUCAUGCUUUGUCCAAGAAUUGUAUUAGAAGAUGGGGGAAAUUCCUUAGAUCGAUAAAAUCACUUAACCACACAACUAGCUGGAAAGUAGGGGAGCAUAGUGCUGAAACUUAAUCAACUAACUGCCCUGUUUUCGUUCUGACUUCUUAAACAACCUUGUCCAUGCUUAGAGACACGAUCUUCAGCUUGAUGAAUCUUAUAAAUUCUUAUACAUAAUGUAACAUGGAAUUGUUUAUGUCAAAAUGGUUAUUAAAAACUGCGUAUGAAAAAGUGACUCAUAUUAAACUAUUAGCAUUAAUCAAUAUUAAUGAUUGGCUCUUAAUUGGCUUAUGGCAUUUUGGCCAAAAAAAAUACAGCUAUGUAUCUGUAUAUGUACGGAACUGCUCAUGCAUUCCUUUCUGCUGAUUAAUACUACUGUUAGAGAUAAAAACAAAAUAAAAAAAUCUGCUAUAUCAUUUUAGUACUUGAUUCUUUUAGGUCAGUUUCUGAUUUGGUGCUGAACACAUGGUAAUCUCAUGGUUAGUACAGUGCAUGUGCAAAGCAUUUCUAAACUACUCUAUUUGGUAAAUCCAGCAUCACUGAACAUGCUAGAUUCAUUAUAUACAAUGUUACAUUUAUUUGCAUAUAUAAAAUAACAUCUUGACAGGGAUAAAAUGUGCAGAAUCAUCUGGAUAGGCAAAAUCACAGAAUCAUAGAAUCACCAAGGUUGGAAAAACCUCCCAGAUCAUCCAGUUCAACUGUCUACCUAUCACCAUUAUCUCCCCACUAAACCAUAUCCCUCAGUACAACAUCUAAACUUUUCUUGAACACCUCCAGGUAUGGUGACUCCACCACCUCCUUUGGAAGCCCAUUCCAGCACCUGACCACUCUUUUGGAGAAAAAGUUUUUCCUAACCUCCAACCUGAACCUCCCCUGGUGCAACUUCAGGUGAUUAUCUCUCACCCUAUCACUAGUUAUGCAUGCGAAGAGGCCGACCCUCACCUCAUCACAACCUCCCUUCAGGUAGUUGUAGAGAACAAUAAGGUCUCCCAUGAGCCUUUUCUUCUCCAGACUAAAUAAUCCCAUUUCCCUCAACCACUCCCCAUGAAACGUAUGCACCAGACCCUUAACAGCUUUGUUGCAAUUCCCUGGACAUGCUCCAGGGCCUCAAUGUCUUUCUUGUAGUGAGAGGCACAAAACUGAGCACAGUACUUGAGUGGCGGCCUCACCAUAGCACUAUUUCUGAUACAAACCAGAAUGCCAUUGUGCCAACCUGGACACAUUGCUGGCUCAUGUUUAGCUGAGUGUCGACCAGCAUCCCCAGGUCCAUUUCCUCUACACAGGCUUCCGGCCACUCUGCCCCAAGCCUGUAGUGUUGCCUGGGGUUGUUGUGGUGAAAAUGCUGGAACCCGGUGCUUGGUCUUGUUGAACCUCAUCCCACUGGCCUUAGCCCUGAGAUCCAUCCUGUCCAGAUUGUUCUGUAGGUCCUCCCUACCUCCAGGCAGAUUGACACUUCCUGCUAACUUGGUUUCAUCUGCAAACUUACAGAGGGUGCAUCAGUGCCCUCAUCUGGGUCAUCAAUAAGGAUACUAAGCAGGACUGGUCCAAUCUCUGGGGAACGCCACUGAAAAAUAGAUGUGGGAUACUCCUGGUACACACAUUGGACAUCUCCAUGUUUUGUCUACCACAAGCUUAAACAGAAAGAUAUGGUUGUUUACCCAUAUGAGUGAUGAGUCACCUUUGCAUCUCUACCUCUUGACUACUAGUCUGUGUCGUGGAACUAAUGUGGGAGACAUGUUUGUUCUUCCAGUUCAAUUCCAGGUAGUGAUCUGAAGAGUGAAAUUAACACAAACCAAGCUAAUUCGAUAAUUAACUCCACCAAAUUUGUUCUCUUUCAGUUAAAAACUAAAUCUAAGCUCUCUGGUUAGCUGAGAAUUUGAAUAGUAGUAAAGGAAAAUAACUUCUUUCAUAGGAGAAGAGUGCUGUGAAGCUAAAAUGAGAAACACUUAAUGAUUUAAAUUUGUGUGCACUGAAAUAGAGAAAAGAGCUAGAUGAUGCCUUAGAUUAGAUACAUUGACUUCCAGACAUCAAUGUUGAGUGAAAUGAAUUUAUUAUAAGCAGAAAAUAAUUUUGGUUAGCAAUUUCAGAGGAAGCCAAUACUUUCCACA
ensembl:lncRNA